GUUUAGUUUGAUUGUCAAUAUUUUCAAAAUUAUCAAAAUUAACAGAAAUUACAAAAGGUUUAUUUUGGCCUUAUAUGACCAAAUUACGCUUUCGGCUUGCCUAGCAUUUAAUAUUCAUCAUUUUGAAAAACAUGCAUAUACUCGUCAUAACGCCAGCUGGCAAGACAGUUAAGAUUGAUGUUGGUGAUGAAGCAGAUGCCAAGGAUAUGAAUAACGAUAAGUUGAUAACACCAGAAGAAACUAAGUUACAAGAUCUAUAUCCCUCAACUUCGACAAAUGCUCAGCCGCAGGAGAUUGGCAUUCAGGAAGAGCAACUCGUUGAAUCCGUGCGUUUCUCUUAGAUUGCUUAUUUCGUUGGUUGUUUAAAAGGAUGUUUCCAUUGUGCUGCCGCCCGUUGAGGAAUAAUUUGAAGCUUGCUUGUCUAUAUAUCGGCCUAAUCGAGUUGGCCUUAUGUGUUGGCCGCUUUGGCAUCUUUAUAGAUCACCUCAGUAUAAACAGAGAGUCAAUGACUUACACUAUUUUAUCGCUGCCAAUAUUGGUACUCACUUUGGAAAGUAUUUUCUUUAUUCAACUGCUGAGCGCUGUCAUGAUUACGGUGGGAGCUGACCUGAACUUUACAGCACAGCAAUGGCUUCUUAAUCGCUUUCCUGGUGUUGUCAUUUAUUACUGUAAUAUUUUUUAUACCCGUAAUGAUCGUCUGCGGAGUCUACGCCAGUUAUCAAAUGCUCUUUGCCUGGCUAGUAUUAUUGGCUCCUGAAUUAUAUUUUUGGAUAGUAGUUAUUUAUUAUAUGCAGUAUUUACGUGCUGUAGAACUUUCAGCUGCUAACGGCGAGUAUGGGUCAACAGAAGUUUAAAGGUCUUUCUGCAAGAAUCUUAACUUGUUGUUAAUAUAAUUAAUGAACAAUCAUUUUAAGUAUUUAAUUAUAAUCCGUUUAUAAAAAUUAUUUAAAUCA